GAGAAGAGAUCUUAUCCGAUCAAGGUGGGAAGUUAUCCCCUCAUUGUUUGGGAGGUUAUAGUAGAAUGGCGGUUAAGCUGUUGUAAUCCCCGUAACUGAAGUAAUGGAGGGGGAGCUCUGACUUGCUCCCGAAGCCCAGUCGAACUCAGGUCUUAGAGCCCAAGUCUAAUGUUAUUCGGGUAUAUGGACCCGCCGAUUGGAUCUGACCUCCAUAACAGGCUAGGUUGUGAGGACAUUUUGAGGACCAUCUUCGAGUAACAGUCUAAGUCAUAAAUACGAAUCCUUUGUUUGUUGGUCACCGAGCUUGGCAUGUUGAGAGAUCGACAACUGUCUGAGUAGGAGCCAGAUCGAUCUUAUUGUUGGAGUCAGUCGUGAUGUCUUGUUUCUCAUGUCAGAUUAUGCUUAACACAAGACGAAUCUCUGCAUGGUUUCACUAUAGAUCAAGUCAAAAACAUCAUGUAAUUCUUGGAGAGCAUGUACAUUGUUUUAAUUGCUCUCGUGUCUUUUCAGUUUUCUUGAUAACCGCACCUAGCAUUUAAAUCCUUACAAAAUUACCAUAAUGCCCCUACUUAUACUUAUUUAUAACCCUUCUCUUUCUUUGCAUUCUUCUUUUUUCGCUUGAUUUCUCUUCAUUCAACUUUGUAUUCUCUCAUUUCUAUUUCCUUUGUUGGUGCUCCCAGGAUUUACAAAGUGUUCUUUGCUUUUUCCUAAUUUCAUCUUCAUUAGGUUGGUUCUUUUUCACUUUCACCAUGCUUUAUGCUUUACUCUUUCUUCUUUUUCUUUUCAUCUUGCCAAUAUACUAUUAUUUCUGAUGCUAUGUGAUUCUUGAUGCCUUCCACAGGCAGUGACGCUGCCGUCAUGGUGGUGGCUUUGUUCCUGAAUAAGUGCUUGUUUUUUGGAAGUUUUGAUUGCUUGUGGUCCCCACCACACAAACCUUUUUUUCUUCUUUCACGUUUUUAAAUAGUCAUUCAAUUUUACUUUUGUAGGUAUCUGACCUCAUAACCAAAUCGAUUGUUAAUGAGAUGCCUUCCAACAUACUUGUAAGUUUAGCUUAGAUGGAUACUACUAUCUCGAGCGUCCCUUACUUUAUCUACAUGUACGAGUGUCUCUUUAUAAUGUUGGGAUAAAGAUCCUUUUUAUCAAGUUCGAGUAUGUUGUCCUUUACACAUGUAAAGUGACUCCUACUUAACUCCAUCCAAACUUUUAGACCUUCAUGCUAGGAUUCCAGGUUAUGUGUUGGACACUUUGACUUGUUUGCUCCCUCCGGGUUUUCCUUCACCUCUUCACCUGGCAAAGCCCUUCAGUGUCAAAAAACAACAAUAGGUUUCUGUCCGAGCUCACCAAGAUUAGAAGAUCUUCCAGAUUUUUUAGGACUCUUUCCACGAUUUUCAAAAACUUUUACUUUAAGAGAGGAUGACCAGCGCAUCUGAAUCCUACAAGCGCAUGAAACAAGGAUGAAACCAUGGAAGUUGAGCGGCGAGGAACAAGUUUAUGAGAGUUUAUAGCUAUGGCGGUGGCUAGAAAAUUUAGUGGAUAGUGUUAUUGUCUUUCAUUGUUCGGAAGAGUCGGGGAGGUAGUGUGGAGGAUUGAAAAUUGGGGUGAGGUAGAAAUAUAAUUAUAAUUGGAAAUUUGAGAUUAGAUUGUUUAAGAAGAGGAUAAUUUGAAAUUUUAGAUAGGUUUUUACUGUCCGAAUAUUUUAGUUAAUAUAGCCCAUCUUUUAUAAGUACAACGUAAAUUUUAAUUUUUCG